CCAUCUACGGUCACCUGGAACCACCUGGAGUUCAAUGGGACCACCCCAGGGGGGCUCAGCCCCUCCUGCUCCUCCUGCACCUCCAGGAACUCCAGCUCCUGCUGCAGCUUCUGGGAUGGACAGGUGUGCCCAGGUGAGCUCAGGUAUCAUCUACAGUCACCUGGAACCAUCUACGGUCACCUGGAGUUCAAUGGG